ACCAGGCACGUGCUGACCAUGAACCAUGCUCUUUCGGAAAGAAGCCUCUCCUGACCUCAAGCAAUACAGCUUUCACCCCGCCUUGGGAUCCUUUGUUGUUCUCUAAUUAUGUCGAAAACAUUCUGCCUCAGAUUGUUAACAUUGUGCUCUGGGCCUGUAGUUUUUUUAUCUCUUCACUUCUUCUUUCUCUAGAUCUGUUAUCUGCACCACCGGCUGAUAAGAUGCUCCCCCACAGCUUGGAGUCUUUAAUGCAGUAUAUUUCACUGCAAGUGGGAAUGCUGAUGCAACAUAAUAGCGGCCCGGCUCAGCUAUAAUUUUCACUCCUGAGCCUGACGGAAAAUACUUGUCUAAUGCUGGAUUGAUUACACUGGUGAGCUCUUCAAAUUUAAGCUUCACAUAGUCAGACCCAGGAAGUAAUCGGACUAUUUUAUAUCGCCUUUUUC
rnacentral:lncRNA from 1 species